AUUCACACUCCUGGGUCCAUAAUUCUCAAUAAGAUCUAGUAGAAAGUCAAAAUGUUUGAUCAAUAACACACAUGACAUAAAGAAAAUAGCAUAGGCUUCCAAGGACAUAGAAUAAAAGAGCAAAUAAGAAAUUGCAGGGCAAAUAAACCUUGAGAAAAUUUUAUUUCGCAAAUAGAAAGCAACAAGAGACCACAACACUCUACAAUAAAAAUAAUUUAAUGAUGUUUGAUGUCUCACUGCUCCGGCACAUAUUAAUUCAACAUAUGAGAUAAACUAUAAAAGACAGACAAUGGAUAAACAGGUAGGCAGAGGUAUGAGAUCCAGAUUCUGGAAAAUCAGUCACAUUGCAAAUCCUCACAAGCAUGGCUUAAUAG
rnacentral:misc_RNA from 1 species